rnacentral:rRNA from 1 species
CCUACGGGUGGCAGCAGUGGGGAAUAUUGCACAAUGGGGGAAACCCUGAAGCAGCGACGCCGCGUGGAGGAAGAAGGAUUUCGGAAUGUAAACUUCUUUUAGUAGAGAAGAAAAUGACGGUACCUAACUAAUAAGCACCGGCUAACUCCGUGCCAGCAGCCGCGGUAAUACGGAGGGGGCAAGCGUUAUCCGGAUUCACUGGGGGUAAAGGGAGCGUAGGCGGUAUAGCAAGUCAGAUGUGAAAGCCCAGGGCUCAACUAUAGAACUGCAUUUGAAACUGUUCUUCUAGAGUGUAGGAGAGGUAGGUGGAAUUCCUGGUGUAGCGGUGAAAUGCGUAGAGAUUAGGAGGAAUACUCAUUGCGAAGGCGGCCUACUAGACCAUAACUGACGCUGAGGCGCGAAAGCGUGGGGAGCAAACAGGAUUAGAUACCCCAGUAGUC